CCAAUAGCGUAUAUUAAAGUUGUUGCAGUUAAAAAGCUCGUAGUUGAAUUUCGGGGUUAGUAAGCUGGUCGUGCCACUGGUAUGUACUGGUUUUACUGAUCUCUCCUUCUUGUAGAACCGUAAUGCCAUUAAUUUGGUGUUGCGGGAAAACAGGACUGUUACUUUGAAAAAAUUAGAGUGUUUAAAGCAGGCUAACGCUUGAAUACAUUAGCAUGGAAUAAUGAAAUAGGACGUUCGAUCCUAUUUUGUUGGUUUCUAGGAUUGACGUAAUGAUUAAUAGGGAUAGUUGGGGGCAUUAGUAUUCAAUUGUCAGAGGUGAAAUUCUUGGAUUUAUUGAAGACUAACUACUGCGAAAGCAUUUGCCAAGGAUGUUUUCAUUAAUCAAGAACGAAAGUUAAGGGAUCGAAGACGAUCAGAUACCGUCGUAGUCUUAACCAUAAACUAUGCCGACUAGGGAUCGGAUGAUGUUAAUUUUAUAAUGACUCAUUCGGCGCCUUACG
rnacentral:rRNA from 1 species